CAGGCAUGACAAACACACAAACCUCUCCCUGUCCUCACCUGUGUGAUGUUGGGAGGCUGGGUGCCUUUAGCUCUUUAGUAAAGGUUUGCCUACAGGAACGUGAUGCCGUGUUCCGCUGAAAAGCUGCAUUUCGGACAAGGAACGCGGCUGACUGUACUAGAAGUCGGCCAAGAUGUCGUCUCCCCUGAAGUGACUGUAUUUGCCCCGCCCAAGCAGGAGGUUGACGAAAAGGAGAAAGCCACCAUUGUGUGUUUAGUCACCGAUUUCUUCCCAGAUCAUGUCGCCCUGAGCUGGACCGUGAACAACGAGACGAGAACGGCUGGGGUAAAGACAGAGGACCCAGUAUAUGACACCACCGCGAAGCGCUAUUCAAUGACCAGUCGUUUAAGAAUCACCAAGGAAGAGUGGCAGAAUUCAGAUAAUAAGUUCGUGUGCAAAGUCAGUUUCCAUGGUAUAAAAGGAUCCACAGACCAUGAGGAUAGCAUAAAUGGUGCAGGUAAGUAUUGUGGCGGCGGCAGCGAGGCUGCAAGAGAGUCGUAUCUCACAGAAGCCAACCUUGGGAAACUGGUGUAUAUUCUUCUCAUUUUCAAGAGUGCCUUGUAUGGAGCCUUUGUGAUGGGAUUAAAACUAAGAAAAAAGUUGGCACUAUAGGCAUGUUUUGCCUGGGGACAUCUAUCCUGAGCUGAGUCACCUCCAUGAAGAGAGAAGGCAAGAUGGAUACGC